rnacentral:misc_RNA from 1 species
GUACAAUUCACUUGCAUCAUUCACAAAAUGAAAACAAUUAUAUGGCCAUAAUACCAAGGUGGAUAUGGGAGCGGGGGAUUCCGAGUCCAGAUAAUAGAAUACAAAAGCUGGAGAGUGGAGAGUUGAGAGCGCACCACUCACAACUCCUAAACUUCCAGCACAUGAGUUGAAGGUAGGUAGUUUCUUUGUUGGUAGAUGCAUGUUCAUCUCCAAGACAAAAGAGAUCGAUUCAGACAAGAUCUUACAAACAAGGGAUCAUCCUCAUUUUUCCAGUACAAGUAUCAUCUUUCCUCAUAUCUGCAAUUGGCUCCCUAUUCAGUGUCUGAAUCAAUAUUUAGACAUCUCCGUCUAACAGAACGGCGUUGGCGAGGAAAAUUAAAUGGACCAUCUGAUCUUCUCCUGCUCGUCAAUGAUACUCCCUCAUUCGCACCAACAACCAAUGAAGCAGUGUCAGUAAAUGCGUUCAAGGAAGAGUCUUUGGUUUGCAGCGGCUUCCCUGAGCUCAACCCAUUUGCAACUGCAGAACCCCCACCUGC